rnacentral:rRNA from 1 species
GUGAGGAAUAUUGCGCAAUGGAGGCAACUCUGACGCAGCCAUGCCGCGUGCAGGAAGAAGGCGCUACGCGUUGUAAACUGCUUUUAACCGGGAAGAAACCCCAGGACGUGUCCUGGGUUGACGGUACCGGAGGAAUAAGCACCGGCUAACUUCGUGCCAGCAGCCGCGGUAAUACGAAGGGUGCAAGCGUUAUCCGGAUUCAUUGGGUUUAAAGGGUGCGUAGGCGGAUCGUUAAGUCAGUGGUGAAAUCCUGCAGCUUAACUGUAGACUUGCCAUUGAUACUGGCGCUCUUGAGUGCGCUUGAAGUGGGCGGAAUGUGCCGUGUAGCGGUGAAAUGCUUAGAUAUGGCACAGAACACCAAUUGCGAAGGCAGCUCACUAAGGCGAUACUGACGCUGAGGCACGAAAGCGUGGGGAUCGAACAGGAUUAGAAACCCGAGUAGUCC